rnacentral:rRNA from 1 species
UGGGGAAUCUUGCGCAAUGGGCGAAAGCCUGACGCAGCCAUGCCGCGUGGAUGAUGAAGGUCUUAGGAUUGUAAAAUCCUUUCACCGGUAAGAUAAUGACUGUAGCCGGAGAAGAAGCCCCCGGCUAACUUCGUGCCAGCAGCCGCGGUAAUACGAAGGGGGCUAGCGUUGCUCGGAAUUACUGGGCGUAAAGGGAGCGUAGGCGGACAUUUAAGUCAGGGGUGAAAUCCCGAGGCUCAACCUCGGAACUGCCUUUGAUACUGGGUGUCUUGAGUGUGGGAGAGGUAUGUGGAACUCCGAGUGUAGAGGUGAAAUUCGUAGAUAUUCGGAAGAACACCAGUGGCGAAGGCGACAUACUGGCUCAUUACUGACGCUGAGGCUCGAAACGUGGGGAGC